rnacentral:rRNA from 1 species
CCUACGGGUGGCAGCAGUGAGGAAUAUUGGUCAAUGGACGAGAGUCUGAACCAGCCAAGUAGCGUGAAGGAUGACUGCCCUAUGGGUUGUAAACUUCUUUUAUAUGGGAAUAAAACAGGGCAUGCAUACCCUCUUGUAUGUACCAUAUGAAUAAGGAUCGGCUAACUCCGUGCCAGCAGCCGCGGUAAUACGGAGGAUCCGAGCGUUAUCCGGAUUGAUUGGGUUUAAAGGGUGCGUAGGCGGGAGUUUAAGUCAGCGGUGAAAGUCUGUGGCUCAACCAUAGAAGUGCCGUUGAAACUGGUAGGCUUGAGUGUGUGAGAGGCAGGCGGAAUGCGUGGUGUAGCGGUGAAAUGCUUAGAUAUCACGCAGAACCCCGAUUGCGAAGGCAGCCUGCCGGGCCGUAACUGACGCUGAUGCACGAAAGCGUGGGGAUCAAACAGGAUUAGAUACCCGAGUAGUC